rnacentral:misc_RNA from 1 species
AAGACCGCAGCGCGAGUUAUCGAUCCUCUUCGACGGCGAUGGCUCUCAACGGCGGCCUCCGAUCGGGACUCAAGGCGCUCAUCUCCUCCGAGGCGGCGCUCUCCAGAUCAGCAUGUCGGGAGCUGCAUGCAACUGGGGUUAAGAGAAUGGGAGGGCAUGGCCAUGAUUCAGAGCCAUACUACCUUCACGCCAAGCACAUGUACAACUUGGACAGAAUGAAGCACCAGGCACUGAAGAUGUCCCUCUCGGUUCUAGCUGUUUUCAGCAUUGGUGUUGCCGUUCCG